rnacentral:sRNA from 1 species
GACCACCCCUUUUCGGGUCAAGGCCAUACGGACAGCCGGGUCGAAUGCCGA